CCUAGGGAGGAUGUUCUGCGGCCUUUGUAUGGCUGACUGCUUCCUGGGCUGACUGCUACCCAGUCUGAGUGGUAACAAUUGAGGUGGUGGUGGAUUCAUUUGCAGGCAUGAAACGGAUUCUGCCCCAAUUUCAGAGGGGGCAGAGAAACCCAAUCCAUUUUCUUGCUAGGUGAAGCAGUUCGGGGCAAGGGUAGAGCCAGAGCGAAUCUGCACUAUAUCUGGGAAUCCCAAUGACCUUCAGCCCUUACAGAUGACUGAUAUAGGCCAACCUUUCAGUCGGUUGUGUAAAGAACUUGCAUUGCCACCACCAAGGCAAAUCGAAUCCGUCUCUUAUUCUGGAGUUCAAAAACGUAUAAUUGAAGUAGAGAGAACUUAGGAGGGGAACACUUAGAAAGAUAAUUGGAUAAUCACAAAGAGCCUUGAAAGUGUCUCUCCAAUUACUGCUCUGCAGAUUACCGGUGGCCAUUCGAUGUGGGUUUUCCAAAGUUGAUUGCCAAUUCAGACAUUUUUCCACAGCUUUUAGCCAUCCCAAGAAAUAAUGUGAGCAAUUUCUCUCCAUGGGGGCUAUUCCAAGGUGGAAAGUGUCCAUCUAGCAGGCAUCCAAAAUAACCUUGGGAUUAACUCAUUCCUCAUCUACACCAAAUCCUCGGGGAGAGAAAUGAUUAAAAAAUAGCAUGGUGUCCUAGACGUGGACACAAAUUCCCAAUGGGACCAUUCCCAUUUGGGAGAUGAUGGCGCAUAUAAAGAAGUUUGGUAUAGACAGUCCCAAUUCCUUAGCUGGUAGGGCUUGGGUUUGGAGAAGACACAAAGUCCAAUUCUUUGUGUGCAAAAGAGUGGGAGAGGUCAGGUUUUGAGUGUACUUGUGGAAGCCUAGAGGUUUCUUAGCAUGACUAUUCGCACCUUUCAACGCACAUCAUGUUCCACGGCUAUUGCUUAUUUUUUCUUUCUGUUUUUGUUUUAGAUAAAGGAGAGUGUGUCGGCAGAGCCCGCCUCAUCCAGAACUGAUAAAGGAGAGUGCGUCGGCAGAGCCCGCCUCAUCCAGAACUGAUAAAGGAGAGUGCGUCGGCAGAGCCCGCCUCAUCCAGAACUGAUAAAGGAGAGUGCGUCGGCAGAGCCCGCCUCAUCCAGAAUUGAUAAAGGAGAGUGCGUCGGCAGAGCCCGCCUCAUCCAGAACUGAUAAAGGAGAGUGCGUCGGCAGAGCCCGCCUCAUCCAGAACUGAUAAAGGAGAGUGUCGGCAG